GACGAACGCUGGCGGCGUGCCUAAUACAUGCAAGUUGAGCGCUGAAGGCUGGUACUUGUACCAACUGGAUGAGCAGCGAACGGGUGAGUAACGCGUGGGGAAUCUGCCUUUGAGCGGGGGACAACAUUUGGAAACGAAUGCUAAUACCGCAUAAAAACUUUAAACACAAGUUUUAAGGUUGAAAGAUGCAAUUGCAUCACUCAAAGACGAUCCCGCGUUGUAUUAGCUAGUUGGUGAGGUAAAGGCUCACCAAGGCGAUGAUACAUAGCCGACCUGAGAGGGUGAGCAGCCACAUUGGGACGGAGACACGGCCCAAACUCCUACGGGAGGCAGCAGUAGGGAAUCUUCGGCAAUGGACGAAAGUCUGACCGAGCAACGCCGCGUGAGUGAAGAAGGUUUUCGGAUCGUAAAACUCUGUUGGUAGAGAAGAACGUGGGUGAGAGUGGAAAGCUCAGCAAGUGACGGUAACUACCCAGAAAGGGACGGCUAACUACGUG
rnacentral:rRNA from 1 species